AUGCCUGAGAGUUGCCUAGGGAAUUACUUGAGGAGAUGGCAUAUUGAGAGAAAAAAGAGGGAAUAUUUGAACAACAAAUGCUCCUAAACAUCCACAGAUGCCUGGUGUUCCUCUUCAGUGCUAGGCUGCAACGCUCCUCCUUGAGACCUUUGAAACCACAUGAAAUUACAACAGAUUUCAUGAAACUGAUUGGGAGAAGUGGCUAGAAACUCAAGAGGACAUGAUCCUUCCACCCCCACCUUCUAUGGGGGAACCUCAGGAGUCAACCAGCCCAGCUGUGAUGACCUUUCGUGAGCAGGCCCAGUUGAACUCCUGAAGAUGGUCCCAUUUUGGCUCAGAGGAUCCUCCUGGACAACACUUACUCCUUAUCAAGACAAAGGACCCCUCACUGUGUGUGUGUGUGUGUGUGUGUGUGUGUGUGUGUGUACACAAUGCUGUGACUUGAAUUUAGAACCUUAAACAUAUUGAGCAUAUGCUCAAUCUAUGACCACGGUGCACCCUUCUUCCAAUUUUGCUUUAAUUUCCUGUACCAUCCACUGAAAUUCAGAUCCGUGUCAUUUAUCCUAAAAUGCCUGAGAUGGCACGAAUCUCACUGAAGAUAUUCUACCCAUACACAGACACCACUUUGGGCAAAUAGAGAAAUACAACUCAGCUCGAGACUUGCAGAGAGAUUUAUAAACACACCAACACUUAAGAACUCCAUCUAUUCUCCCACAUGUGCCUGAAGUGAAUCAGAUAACAACCCCUCUUACAAAUCACUCUUGACCACAUGCUAUGUAUCCAGACCUCAUCUGAGCUCUGAGUAGAUUACUCACCUGUCAAGUUGUUGCUGUUGUUGUUUGAUAGCACAGAGUUUUCAUAAUGAACUGAUGGGCCAGAGAAAAAGGCCUGUACAGAUUUUGUCUAAGUAUCCCUGUGUGCAUUUCUCAUUAUUAAAGGAUUAUUUCUUCAUCA